rnacentral:tRNA from 1 species
AUCCCUGUAAAGCAAUGGAUAGUGUGUUCGACUUCUAAUCCAAAGGUCGUGGGUUCGAAUCCCACCUGGGAUA